rnacentral:rRNA from 1 species
GAUGAACGCUGGCGGCGUGCCUAAUACAUGCAAGUCGAGCGAACAGAUAAGGAGCUUGCUCCUUUGACGUUAGCGGCGGACGGGUGAGUAACACGUGGGUAACCUACCUAUAAGACUGGGAUAACUUCGGGAAACCGGAGCUAAUACCGGAUAACAUUUGGAACCGCAUGGUUCUAAAGUGAAAGAUGGUUUUGCUAUCACUUAUAGAUGGACCCGCGCCGUAUUAGCUAGUUGGUAAGGUAACGGCUUACCAAGGCGACGAUACGUAGCCGACCUGAGAGGGUGAUCGGCCACACUGGAACUGAGACACGGUCCAGACUCCUACGGGAGGCAGAAGUAGGGAAUCUUCCGCAAUGGGCGAAAGCCUGACGGAGCAACGCCGCGUGAGUGAUGAAGGGUUUCGGCUCGUAAAACUCUGUUAUUAGGGAAGAACAAACGUGUAAGUAACUGUGCACGUCUUGACGGUACCUAAUCAGAAAGCCACGGCUAACUACGUG